UACGUAGGUGACCAGCGUUGUCCGGAUUUACUGGGCGUAAAGAGCGCGCAGGCGGUCGUUCAAGUCGAGUGUGAAAGCCCCCGGCUCAACUGGGGAGGGUCACUCGAUACUGAUCGACUUGAAGGCAGGAGAGGGAAGCGGAAUUCCCGGUGUAGUGGUGAAAUGCGUAGAUAUCGGGAGGAACACCAGUGGCGAAGGCGGCUUCCUGGGCCUGUUCUUGACGCUGAGGCGCGAAAGCUAGGGGAGCAAACGGG
rnacentral:rRNA from 1 species